GACGAACGCUGGCGGCGUGCCUAAUACAUGCAAGUAGAACGCUGAAGGAGGAGCUUGCUCUUCUGGAUGAGUUGCGAACGGGUGAGUAACGCGUAGGUAACCUGCCUGGUAGCGGGGGAUAACUAUUGGAAACGAUAGCUAAUACCGCAUAAUAGUAGAUGUUGCAUGACAUUUGCUUGAAAGGUGCAAUUGCAUCACUACCAGAUGGACCUGCGUUGUAUUAGCUAGUUGGUGGGGUAACGGCUCACCAAGGCGACGAUACAUAGCCGACCUGAGAGGGUGAUCGGCCACACUGGGACUGAGACACGGCCCAGACUCCUACGGGAGGCAGCAGUAGGGAAUCUUCGGCAAUGGACGGAAGUCUGACCGAGCAACGCCGCGUGAGUGAAGAAGGUUUUCGGAUCGUAAAGCUCUGUUGUAAGAGAAGAACGAGUGUGAGAGUGGAAAGUUCACACUGUGACGGUAUCUUACCAGAAAGGGACGGCUAACUACGUGCCAGCAGCCGCGGUAAUACGUAGGUCCCGAGCGUUGUCCGGAUUUAUUGGGCGUAAAGCGAGCGCAGGCGGUUAGAUAAGUCUGAAGUUAAAGGCUGUGGCUUAACCAUAGUACGCUUUGGAAACUGUUUAACUUGAGUGCAAGAGGGGAGAGUGGAAUUCCAUGUGUAGCGGUGAAAUGCGUAGAUAUAUGGAGGAACACCGGUGGCGAAAGCGGCUCUCUGGCUUGUAACUGACGCUGAGGCUCGAAAGCGUGGGGAGCAAACAGG
rnacentral:rRNA from 1 species